rnacentral:rRNA from 1 species
UACGUAGGGGGCAAGCGUUGUCCGGAAUCAUUGGGCGUAAAGAGCGUGUAGGCGGUCCGGUAAGUCGGCUGUGAAAGUCCAGGGCUCAACCCUGGGAUGCCGGUCGAUACUGCCGGACUAGAGUUCGGAAGAGGCGAGUGGAAUUCCCGGUGUAGCGGUGAAAUGCGCAGAUAUCGGGAGGAACACCUAUGGCGAAGGCAGCUCGCUGGGACGUUACUGACGCUGAGACGCGAAAGCUAGGGGAGCAAACAGG